UUCUCUAUCAAUAUUUAAAAUUUUGUCAUUAUUUUACAUGUUUUGCUCAUAUUUUUAAUAAUAAAGUAGAACUUUUCACAAUUUUUAUUGGAUGAAUUUAUAGCAAAUUUAGUUUUAGUAUUUUAUGAGGUGAAUUCUUUUAAUGAGUCAUUAAUUUAAAGAAAGAAAAAGAAUUCUUAAUUUAUGUUUCACCUAGUAAGUCCCUUUACUAAUUAUUAAAAGUUGUAUAAUUAAUUA
rnacentral:lncRNA from 1 species